rnacentral:rRNA from 1 species
GACGGAGUAGGCAAGCGUUAUCCGGAAUUAUUGGGCGUAAAGGGUACGCAGGCGGCUGGUCAAGUCUGGGGUCAAAGGCCUCAGCUCAACUGUGGGAAGGCCCUGGAAACUGACCGGCUAGAGUGAGGUAGGGGUUGCGGGAAUUCCCGGUGUAGCGGUGAAAUGCGUAGAGAUCGGGAAGAACACCUGAGGCGGAAGCGCGCAACUGGGCCUCAACUGACGCUGAGGUACGAAAGCUAGGGGAGCGAAUGGG